rnacentral:rRNA from 1 species
AAGACGAACCGUGCGAACGUUGUUCGGAAUCACUGGGCUUAAAGGGCGCGUAGGCGGGCUGACAAGUCUGGGGUGAAAUGCCGCGGCUCAACCGUGGAACUGCCUUAGAUACUGUCGGCCUCGAGGAAGGUAGGGGCAUGCGGAACUGUAGGUGGAGCGGUGAAAUGCGUUGAUAUCUACAGGAACUCCGGUGGCGAAAGCGGCGUGCUGGACCUUUUCUGACGCUGAGGCGCGAAAGCUAGGGGAGCAAACGG